ensembl:lncRNA
UCUCCUCACAGGAGCAGCCCCCCUGCCUCCUCCUUCACACCCAAGCCCAGAGCCUCAGGGGCGGGGCGGGAGGAGGAGCCUGGCUCCUAGGAGGGUGGGCUCACCAGAGCUCCUCACUGUGCUGCAGGAGUCACGUGAAGCAGGCAGCCUAUGGCGGCGUGGGGGGCUUGCUUGCCGCAGAAGGCUGAGCACUGGCAGGGAACCGGGCAAAGGCUCCGGCACAAGCCCCGCUGGCGCUCCUGCUCCCGCUCCCGCUCCCGGUGCCCGCGCCAGCGGCGAUGGCGGCACUUCUGGGGCCCAGCGCCCUGGCUCAGCUCCGCUGGGGCUCGGCCUUCUGGUCCAUCGCGGCCGGAGGCUUGGGCGCCUUCGCGGCCGCCUUUGCCAAGCUGGCCCUGAAGCCGACCGACGUUGUGGGGCCCGGAGGAAAAGGAGCAGGAGCUCCCUUACCCGCCCGCCACGCAGGCCUGGGCCUUCCUGGGUUACCUGUUGUAUGGAGAAUACUGUGCAGUGAUGUGGUGGGCCAGGGUCAUCAUGAUCUUCUGUGGACUGGCACUGAUGCACACAAGCUUGUCCGCCAAGGAGGAGCUCAAGGAAAAGAAGAACCAGUAGGGGCAGACCUGAGGGCAAAGGUUCCUCGUGCUGUUGUUGGCCCUUCAGAAUCCCAAGCCUCGAGAAGGCCACUGAGUUCUGGGGGAGCAGUUUUGUCCUGUUGCUGCUGUUUUGUUUUUUUUAAAUUCCUAUCUAGGGAAGAAACCAAUGCUAGACACCAUCUGAUUGAUUCGUGCUUUAAGGAUCUCUUCAGGCAGGGCGUGCUCGUGUCACUAGGCCUCUGGCAAGUGGAUUUGUGCUUCUGACUCAGCUGAGAAACUCUGCUAGAUGUCUAGAAAUCCCAGGGAGAAAGAAAGCAGUGUUCUGGCUGGAGCUGAUGUUCAGAUCGAUCUGCUCCUUGGGCCCAAGGGACAGAUGCCAGGAAGAGGCUUUGCCUCUGGUGAGUGUUUCUCUUUGCGGUAUUACCUAGACAGAAUGGAGAAGGCUGACGUUGGGAUUGACCCUAGGCCUGAGUCUUUCUUGCUCUCUCUGUGGAGCUCCAGUGAUGCCAGUAGUAUGUUUAUCACAAACCAUAAAUCUUAAUUUAAUGAGGAUUUACAUUUAAGGUCUGUUGGUACUGAUUUGUGCCAUUAACAAUUACUAAGCACCUAGGCUAGACAAGGCCCAGGACACCAAACUAGCGAGACAAUGCCAUUCCCUGCCCUCGAGGGAUAUGCGUUGUGUUUGAGAGGGGACAAAGAAGAAAGUGAUAAAAGCUACCACCCCCAAAAAAGGAAAAAAGGGAGGGAAGGGUUCAAAGCAAAGGAAAAACCUAAGACCAGAGUUUCUUAAUUUUUUGGGGGACAUGGGCCCUUUUGGCAGGCUGGUGAAAUGGAACCCUUCUCAGAAUAAGAUUUUUAAAAUAAUCAAUCAAAAUACAUAGGACUACCAAGGAAACGCAAUUGGAAUGCAGUUAUAAAAAACAAGCAAACAAACAAAUACAUGGAUACCCAGUUUAAGAACCCUUAAUUUAAGACAAUGUGCCAUAAGGAAUUUAAGGAGGGUGCCCAGGUUAAGACCCGCUGGUCUAAGACUAUGUGCCAUAAGAAAUUUGAGAAGGAAGAAGUCCCUUUCAGCUGGGGAAGGAUCAGAGAAUCCUUCACAGAGGAAGUGGUUACUGAGCUGGGUCAUAGAGAGGAUUUCAGAAAGAAGAAAUGUGGAGGAAAUGAGUUGUAGGUAGAGAAAAGAGCCUUGGCAAAUGGAAGAGGAGAGUGAGGGGCAGCUGGUUGUCUAGAUUAUGUGGGGGUAGACUUCAUGACAGAAGGUAGUAAGAAAGAAGGCUAGAUAGGGAUGAAUGGGAUGCCCCAGUGAAGAUUCCUCAGUGUAAUUAAGGUUUGGGAUAAGGCUGAGUGGGAUAAGGGGUUCCAUGAAGAUUUCUCAGAAGAAUAAAUAGAAAUUGUAUUGUGACA